rnacentral:rRNA from 1 species
CGCGGUAAUACAGAGGUCUCAAGCGUUGUUCGGAUUCAUUGGGCGUAAAGGGUGUGUAGGCGGCCUGUUAAGUUCCGUGUGAAAUCUCCCGGCUCAACCGGGAGGGUGCGCGGAAAACUGGCGGGCUAGAGUGCGGGAUGGGAGAGUAGAAUUCCUGGUGUAGCGGUGAAAUGCGUAGAUAUCAGGAGGAAUACCGGUGGUGUAGACGGCUCUCUGGACCGCAACUGACGCUGAAACACGAAAGCGUGGGUAGCAAACAGGAUUAGAUACCCUGGUAGUCCACGCCCUAAACGAUGCAUAUUUGGUGUAGGUCAUUCAGUUGAUCUGUGCCGGAGCUAACGCGUUAAAUAUGCCGCCUGGGGAGUACAGUCGCAAGGCUGAAACUCAAAGGAAUUGACGGGGGCCCGCACAAGCGGUGGAGCAUGUGGUUCAAUUCGACGCAACGCGAAGAACCUUACCUGGGCUCGAACGGCUGGUCAACGAUCGUGGAAACACGGUUACUCCGCAAGGGGGUCCAGUCGAGGUGCUGCAUGGCUGUCGUCAGCUCGUGUCGUGAGAUGUUGGGUUAAGUCCCGCAACGAGCGCAACCCUCGUCCUGUGUUGCCAUCAUUCAGUUGGGAACUCGCAGGAGACCGCCAGCGAUAAGCUGGAGGAAGGUGGGGAUGAUGUCAAGUCAUCAUGGCCUUUAUGUCCAGGGCUACACACGUGCUACAAUGGACGGUACAAAGCGCUGCUAACCCGCGAGGGGGAGCCAAUCGCAAAAAACCGUUCUCAGUUCGGAUCGCAGGCUGCAACCCGCCUGCGUGAAGCUGGAAUCGCUAGUAAUGGCGUAUCAGAACGACGCCGUGAAUACGUUCCCGGGCCUUGUACACACCGCCCGUA